UACGUAGGGUGCAGGCGUUAAUCGGAAUUACUGGGCGUAAAGGGCGCGUAGGUGGUUGCGUAAGUGAGAUGUGAAAUCCCCGGGCUUAACCUGGGAACUGCAUCUUAUACUGCGUAGCUGGAGUACAUGAGAGGGUAGUGGAAUUUCCGGUGUAGCGGUGAAAUGCGUAGAUAUCGGAAGGAACACCAGUGGCGAAGGCGGCUACCUGGCAUGAUACUGACACUGAGGCGCGAGAGCGUGGGGAGCAAACAGG
rnacentral:rRNA from 1 species